rnacentral:rRNA from 1 species
GACGAACGCGGCGGCGUGCCUAAUACAUGCAAGUCGAGCGAAGUUUUUCUGGUGCUUGCACCGGAAAAACUUAGCGGCGAACGGGUGAGUAACACGUAAAGAACCUGCCUCAUAGACUGGGACAACUAUUGGAAACGAUAGCUAAUACCGGAUAACAGCAUUAACUGCAUGGUUGAUGUUUAAAAGUUGGUUUUGCUAACACUAUGAGAUGGCUUUGCGGUGCAUUAGCUAGUUGGUGGGGUAAAGGCCUACCAAGGCGACGAUGCAUAGCCGACCUGAGAGGGUGAUCGGCCACACUGGGACUGAGACACGGCCCAGACCCCUACGGGAGGCAGCAGUAGGGAAUCUUCCGCAAUGGGCGAAAGCCUGACGGAGCAACGCCGCGUGAGUGAAGAAGGAUUUCGGUUCGUAAAGCUCUGUUGUUAGGGAAGAAUGAUUGUGUAGUAACUAUACACAGUAGAGACG